AAAAGUUACUAAGGGCACACGGUGGAUGCCUUGGCACUGGUAGGCGAUGAAGGACGUGGUUACCUGCGAUAAGCCUCGGAUAGAUGGAAGCAAUCUUAGACCCGGGGAUUUCCGAAUGGGGCAACCCAAUGCGAGUAAUGUCGUAUUACUAUGCACUGAAUAAAUAGGUGCAUCAGAGCAAACUCAGGGAACUGAAACAUCUAAGUACCUGAUGGAAAAUAAAACAAUAGUGAUUUCCGGAGUAGCGGCGAGCGAAAUGGAAACAGUCUAAACUUUGUGGUGUGUUAAAGACUCGAAUCGUUGCAUCACAGGUGUUGUGGGACUUUCAGAUCAAUUUCGAGUAGAUCAAAGAGUACACUGAUUCGUUAGCUGAAUCGUUUUGGAAAAUACAGCCACAGAGAGUGAUAGCCUCGUAAGCGAAAACGAUAGGCUCUUGAAAGUAUCCCAAGUACCACGGACUAAGUGAAAUUCUGUGGGAAUCCGCGAGAACCAUCUCGUAAGACUAAAUACUAACCAGUGACCGAUAGUGAACAAGUACCGUGAGGGAAAGGUGAAAAGUACUCCUGACAGGAGGGUGAAAUAGUACCUGAAACCGUGUGCUUACAAACGGUAGGAGCCACCUUGGAAGAGCUUGCUCUUCAAAGGGGUGACUGCGUGCCUUUUGCUUAAUGAACCAACGAGUUGCUCGUAUCAUGCCAGGGUAAAUUCUUAAGGAAUGCACCCGCAGCGAAAGCAAGUCCUAAAUGGGCGAUUAGUAUGAUGCGGCAGACGCGAAACUGUGUGAUCUAGUCAUGGCCAGGAUGAAGCAAGGGUAACACCUUGUGGAGGUCCGAACCGGUGCGGGUUGAAAACUGCUCGGAUGAGCUGUGACUAGGAGCGAAAGACCAAUCAAACUCAGAGAUAGCUCGUUCUCUCCGAAAUAGCUUUAGGGCUAGCCUCGGAUAAUAGUAUGACGGAGGUAGAGCACUGAUUGGGGUAGGGCUGUCACAACGGUACCAAACCCAGAUAAACUCCGAAUUCCGUACAUAUGUUUUCCGGGAGUCAGGCAGUGGGGGAUAAGCUUCAUUGCCAAGAGGGGAACAACCCAGACCACCAGCUAAGGUCCCCAAGUCUAUGUUAACAGACUAAGGAUGUUAAGUUGCUGAGACAACUAGGAUGUUGGCUUAGAAGCAGCCAUUCAUUUAAAGAGUGCGUAAUAGCUCACUAGUCAAGCGACUUAGCGCCGAUAAUACUCGGGACUCAAACAUAGCACCGAAGCUGUGGACUCAGUAAUGAGUGGUAGGAGAGCAUUCUGUAUGCAGCGAAGGUUCACGGACAACGUGGGCUGGAGCGUACAGAAACGAAGAUGUUGGUAUAAGUAACGAUAAACAAAGUGAAAAACUUUGUCGCCGAAAAUCUAAGGUUUCCUGAGCAACGUUAAUCGUCUCAGGGUUAGUCGGGUCCUAAGCUGAGGCCAAACGGCGUAGGUGAUGGAUAACAGGUUAAUAUUCCUGUACCGCCGAAAUUUAAACCGGAGGGACGCAGAAGUGAAAGGAGAGCCACCUGAUGGAUGGUGGUCUAAGGGCGUAGGAGCAAUCUGAAACCCGAACGGGAUGGCGCAAGCCUACAAACUCUCCCUAAUCAGGCUGCCAAGAAAAGCUCCGGCGUAUACUAAGGCGCCCGUACCGUAAACCGACACAGGUAGAUGAGAUGAGUAUUCUAAGGCGCUCGAGUGAGCCGUGGUUAAGGAACUCGGCAAAUUAACCCCGUAACUUCGGGAUAAGGGGUGCCCAAUUAUUUGGGCCGCAGAGAAAUGGGCCAAGCGACUGUUUAACAAAAACACAUGUCUAUGCUAACCCGUGAAGGGGAUGUAUAUGGACUGACACCUGCCCGGUGCUGGAAGGUUAAGGAGAGAGGUCAUGGCGUAAGCCGGCAGCUUUGAACCGAAGCCCCAGUAAACGGCGGCCGUAACUAUAACGGUCCUAAGGUAGCGAAAUUCCUUGUCGGGUAAGUUCCGACCU
rnacentral:rRNA from 1 species